AUCGUUUCUCGGCCUUUUGGCUACGAUAGUGUUUUGUAUAGGUUCUUAUCAUUUUAAUAACGGAUAUGUCCUCGAUGUAAGGACACUGUUUUAAGCGGAUUUUUUGGAGCAGGGAGGUAGGUUGGGAGAUGGCUCCGUCUCCAGCGCUUAGAGCAGUGCUUGGCACAUAGUAAGCGCUUAACA